UUAAAGGCUUGAAAAGUAAGUGGAAUGAUAUUGAUGUGAAAAACUGUGUCAUCACUCACUUCAAAUGGCAAUCUAUUUAUGAUUCUUGGUUUAAUGAAAAAGCAGAAAAAGUAAGAAAAUGUUUAAUGACGAUUGUGAAUGAAGGAGUCUUCAAAAACUCUAAUAGACACGAGAAGAGAGCAGACUACCAGGAACUUGCUUAGCUAGCUCUCAUGUUCUUGGAACCGACAUUCAAGCCUCUCAACAUACACAAGCCUGGAGCAGUACAUCAAGCUCGUUUUAUGGCAAAGAGUAUCUACUAUCUAAAGAUUAUGCUUCUUCUUAAUUCGACAAAGUAAAUCGUAAAAUUGAGCCAGGAGAAGAUUAAUGAGGUGGAAAAAAUGGCAAUUUUUAUUUCAAUUUUCUAUGCUCCUCAAUUUCUGAGAGUUGAAAAAUCAGAUACAGCUGCAAUCCAAGACCAGUACUUUAUCUGGCAGAUGGCCCACUUGGAGAAGUUUGAUGUAACUGCAGCUUCAAUCUUCAAAAGGUGGGGAAAACACAGCUGGUACUUAGAUCGCACUGUUAUUUUUGCCCUAGCCAUUACAAAGGAAGAAAUGGCUAGAAAGCUAGUACAGUAUCCUCGAACAAACAAGUAUGAUUUUGAAAGAAAGAAUAAUUCCGGUUUUAUUUCACAAAAGACCAAAUUUCUCAAACUCACCGAGCCACCUUCACUCGUUAAUUAUGUAGGAGCUGAGUAAUGGUUAGUGUUUGAUAUGCUUGAACACACUGAAAGACAUGUUAAGUGGCUUUUUUAUCUUUCGUCUACAUGGAAUAUAGAUCCAGAUUUCAUUGCUUUUCAACUAUUUGUUAAAAGCUUGGCAGUUGUUAAUGAUGCAGCAGAAAGAGCCGUAAAAGCGAUUCAGGAGGUUUUUUACAGAUAUAUGACAAGAAGAAACUGCAGAAAAUGUUAAUAGUCAAGAAUAAAAUAAAGAAAUCAAUUUCACGCACUUUCAAAGCAGCAAAUAAAGAGGCAGCUGAACAGCUUACACCUGCUUAGAAGCUAAGCCUUGCGUACGAAUAUGAAUGUCUUGAGGAGACGGAGGACAAGUUAUCACUAUCUAGUACUAGUGAUUUUGACAGUAGCUUGGAUAUUGUUGAUGAAGAUGAUGUGGUUGAGACUAUAGAGGCUGAAAACGAGGUCUUCAAUAAUGCAGAAACCUAAGUCUAUAUUUUAAGUUAAUAUUUUUUUCAACGCUAUUAUUUACUUUUCUGAAGUACAAAAGAAGGGGAAGGGGGAGGAAAAGGUACGGGAAAAAAUUAUCCAUACAUGCCCCUCCCUGUUUUGGUAAAGAGACAUCAAUAUGUUUUUUAUAUUUAUUUUGCUAGCUAUAAGGAGAUUGUACAAAACUCUUUAGAUCUAUAUAACUGCUGCA